rnacentral:piRNA from 1 species
UGCCCACUGUGAAAUUUUCAAUUCUCCAG